rnacentral:rRNA from 1 species
AGUGAACGCUGGCGGCAGGCCUAACACAUGCAAGUCGAACGGCAGCACAGUAAGAGCUUGCUCUUACGGGUGGCGAGUGGCGGACGGGUGAGGUAUAUAUCGGACUCUACUCUUUCGUGGGGGUUAACGUAGGGAAACUUACUCUAAUACCGCAUACGACCUACGGGUGAAAGCAGGGGAUCUUCGGACCUUGCGCGAUUGGAUGAGCCGAUGUCGGAUUAGCUAGUUGGCGGGGUAAAGGCCCACCAAGGCGACGAUCCGUAGCUGGUCUGGGAGGAUGGUCGCCGACAUUGGAACGGAGACACGGUCCAGAGGCCUACGGGAGGCACCAGUGGGGAAUGUUGGACAAUAGGGGCAAGUCUGAUCCAGCCAUCCCGCGUGGGUGGAAGCAGCCUUCGGGUUGUGAAGCCGGUUUGUGGGGAAAGAAAAGCUGUAGGUUGAGACCCCGCUGGUGUGACGGUACCGAGAGAAGAAGCACCGGCUAACUACGUG